rnacentral:rRNA from 1 species
CAAUAGCGUAUAUUAAAGUUGUUGCGGUUAAAAAGCUCGUAGUUGGAUUUCUGUUGUGGGCAGCCGGUCCAAACUAUGUUUGAGUAUCUGGUUCGACCAUGGCAUCCUCCUGAGGAACGUUGGUGCGCUUCACUGCGUGGCACGGUAUUCAGGACUUUUACUUUGAGGAAAUUAGAGUGUUCACGGCAGGCGUUUGCCCUGAAUAUAUUAGCAUGGAAUAAUAAUAUAGGCGAAAGCGUCUAUUUUGUUGGUUUCUAGAUGUUUUCGAAUGAUUAAUAGGGACUGUCGGGGGCACUCGUAUUAUGACGUCAGAGGUGGAAUUCUUGGAUUGUCAUACGACGAACUACUGCGAAAGCAUUUGCCAAGGAUGUUUUCAUUGAUCAAGAACGAAAGUAAGGGGAUCGAAGACGAUCAGAUACCAU